GCAGAACAGUGGCUCGGAGGGCGCAGGCUGCCCGGCCUCCGCCCCCUGCAAGCUGAGGGCUGUCCGCGCUGUCUUUCCGACGGCCCCACCCCCGGCUCUCUGAGCUCCGCGAGGUGAAGUCAUCUCCCGGGGGCUCGGGAGUGGCCGCGGGCCUCGCGGAGGUUCCCGGAUCUCGGCGUCGUUGCCGCGGUGUCCUUGUCUUUCUUUUGGGGACCAGGAGGGGGUUCUUGGGGGAAGGAGGGGAGAGCGGAGGCCGCCAUCUUGCUUCUAGAGGGUCAGCUCAUGUUCCCUGGGCGUCUCAGGGUUGAGGCCGCUCGUGUGGCGUGGCCGGGGGUAUUCAGAGCGGAGCUGGCGACGUGGCUUGUCACGGGCCAAAUCCCAGGAGGCGGGUCAGCCGCCUACCCUGGCUGGAGGGUCUCGUGGCUGCCCUGGGCCUCAUCUAACUGCUGAUCCCCUGGAGAAUUCGCUUUCUCGGACGGUCUGCGAGUUCUUUCUGAGGGGUGUCGGACCCCCCUGCGACUCUGCAGGUGUCGGUGUGGCACUGAGAUCAUCUUGCGGCCCCAUGGCACUGUGAUUUGGUAGCUUGUGAGAAGUAGUUUCACUAAAUCCGUAAAUUUAAGUUAGCAGCUACAGAUUCUUAUGUCUUGACAUUUAUUCGCUUAUCUCUCUUUGCUCCCCACAAAUUGAGUACCAACUAUAUUCCUGGUAUGAGCCAUUCAAGGAAUGUCCAGUCUAGUGGGCAGACAUACAUGAAAGCAAAUCAUUGCUAUUGGAAGUAUGGUUUAUCAAGAUGUACAGCGUGAAGAAUGGAUAGCUUUACUAACGUAGGUUAGAGUUUUAAAGAUAAAUAGGCAUUUUCUACUACAAAAAUAGGGGUGGGAUGGCAAAUCCGGAUCCGAACAGAAAGGAGAUGCAGCACGGGGACAAAUAAUUUGUUGAGAAGAAUGAGUAAUAAUUACAGGUCUUGAAGUUCAAACUUAGGUUGCUGAAGAAGAUGAGGCUGGAGAAGAAAACAGGAGCCAAAUCACGAAUCGUCUAUGCCUUGGAAUUGCUCCAUUCCAAUAAAAAUAUUUUAAAUUUAAUCAUUGACAACAGUUAAGCUGGCCAUAGGCUGAGGAUUGAGGAUGGUGGGUUGCACAAAUAUCUGCUGAAUGGAGAGCUAGAAGGAGGAUGACUUCAAGAAGAGUCAGCAAUAGGAACGCAAUGAAAGACAACCUCAAAUUCAUUAGUCAGCCUGUCUCAGCUGCUUUUUGGUGGCUCACAGCUAUGCUAACCUAGCAUAAAGCAGUGAGAAAUAGAAUACUUCAUUUUGAGCAGAGCUUCAGAAAACCACAAAUAGUAAAAGCCCUAUAAAUAAUAGCUACAGCUGCAAACCAAAGACUAAUUAUUAGUUUUUAACUCUAUAUCCCUGUAGAGCAGCAUUUUUGAACACACAAAAAAAGAGAAACGCGUUCACUUACGUCUUAGAUUAUUUAAAUACAGUAUUCUCAAUUUGUCUAGGAUAAAAAAGCAUUUAGGUGUAUUGAACAACCAUAUAAUGGAUAAUAUACUGAACAGGAAAUGAGAAUAAUUAGCUUGAGUCCCUUUUUUGUCAGUUGUUCACCGUAUGACCCUAGCAAUGUUACUUAACCUCUCUAUGCCCUAGUUUCUCUGACUGUAAAAUAGAGAUAAUAAUAACUUUCUAUCAGCCGCCUCUCAAAGAUAUUAUAGGAAAUAACAAAUUAAUGCUAUGAAAGCUCUUUGAGGUACUUGGAUGAAAGGGCAUAAUUGUAAGUACAUAUUAUUAGUAAUUAGCACUAAUAUCCAGUAGCACCCAUGAGCAUUCCUGACUUUGCUGCCUGGAUUACUCAAAGAACAUGAAGGAUCCUGUUUUGAAAUACACUUAGAUCUUUUUUCUUAACUUGUGAAUUGACUUUACUAUUUAUGAUCAAACCUUGUGUAUUAACAAAUAUAGUUAAUGAAAGAGGGAAGUAAAAAGAAGUUUUGGUAACCACAACUUUUAUAUUCAUGCUACUCAUAGCUAAUAUAUGCUUUGGGGGAAAAUACAGGGUAGAUAGGGAUUUGCCAGAAGCAUGUUUUAGAAUUAAUGAUUAGUCUACUCCAGUCAGUUAACUGGAAUUUUGUAUUAAAAACAUUAUUCAUGUCCCCAUAGAAUAAUGCAGUCCCUAUAGAAUUUAUAGACAGUUACAUGUUUGACACAAUUAAGUUGAACAUUCCUGUGAAACUCUGUCAUUCUCAUCACUGUUUAAUCACAAACAUGUAAUGAAAUAUAUAGACUUGUGAAGUUUUGUCCAAUGUCUAUCCCUAAAGUAGAUGAGAAUUUUUUCCAUUAAAUUGGUGACUUCAGUAUUUCCUUUAGAGAGGUGUAUGCAUAAUGUAAACAUUUAAAUGUAUUCAUGACUACAUAAUGUGCAUGUUUAUUUUUAUACACUUGCUUAUAUACCAAUUUAUAAAAUUAUCAUAUAAUGUAUAUUAACUAUACAUCUGGGAACAGCAAUGACAAACAAGGCUUCUUUGUGUUUUAGGGCCAGAUAAGAAAGUAAUUGGUUAAUAGCCAUUUGUCACCACUGGUGAAAAAUCAACUCAAAAUCAUGUUUUAUUAUUUAUUAGAGUUAUGAGCAUUAUCUAUAAGAUUCAUGACACCAUGACUUGGUGUGGUGGCUCACACCUGUAAUCCCAGCAUUUUGGGAGGCCGAGGCAUGUGGAUCGCUUGAAUACAGGAGUUAAAGACUAGCUUGGACAGCAUAGGGAGCCCUCAUCUCUAUUAAAAAAAAAAAUUAAAAAAAAACAACACUAGGCAGGCAUAGUGGCAUUCACCUGUGGUCCCAGUUACUCAGUAGGCUGAGGUGGAUCCCUUGAACCCAGGAGGUCGAGGCUACAGUGCCUGUGAUCAUUACACUGUACUGCAGCCUGGGCAACAAAAUGAAACCCUGUCUCAAAAAAGAAAAAAAAUUCCGUGACACCUUGACAUUUGUACUAUUUCAUUUUGUUUUCACAAUUUUGUGAGAUACAAAUUGUUGAAAGAAAUAGGCUCAGAGUGCUGAAAGACUAGCGCUCUGAGACUAGUUUUUAAAGACUUAAAAAUUCACUACAGUUGUCAAGUAACAUACCCAAACACACAUUUUGAGAUUCUCAAAAUAUAUUGUUUCUUUUAGUACUUUAUACCAGGGUCACCAGCUUGAUAUGACAGUCCAGAAUGUAUUUAUAAUAUGGACAUUUCUGGCUUAUUAUUGAUUGCCUGCAGCAUCUCCAAAAUUCAGCCAAACUUAACGUUUUUAAAACUGAAAACUACAAUUCUUAUGUUUAUGGCUGUAUCUUUACCAGCUUGAAGACAGGUACAUUGUUUUAUUCAUUUUUGUAUCCUUCAUGGUGCCCAAAAUAAGUACUCAGAAAAUAUUUUGGGGAUGAGUAAAAUGUAUAUUGUGAUGUUUAGUUGAAUUAGCGGGAAAAAAGCUGAUACAAUCACCUCAGAAACUUUUUUAGGAGGUCGUACACAUUUUCAGCACAUUCAUGUGAAGAUAGUUUAUUUGGGUUUGUACUUUAAAUUGGUGGAACCAUUGCCUCAAUUUCCCACUUCAUUUUUAAUGACGUCAUGCCUUGGAGAGAUAGGCUUAAGUAGGUGAUGCAGAUGACAGUCACCUGUAUGAUAUGCCUCUGGAUAUGUUUGUUGGGCUUAGAUAGUCCGGAUGACCCACAACAAAAGGGUCAUCUAGAAUAUCUAAACACAGCUUUAAUGAGAAUGUGUAAAGAGUGGGGUUAUGAGAGUUUGGGUCUUCAUAAUUCUCCCCUUCAUGCCGACGACCCUUGUGGACCACAUAUUUCUAUACUUUUCUGUCAAGGGAUUAGAGGAUAAGACUACUCUAUCAGUGGUUCCCAAAUGUGACUGCUUAUCACAAUCACCUGUGUAGUUUCAAAGGCAAUUCAGAUUCUCAAGUCCCACUCUAAACAGAAAAUAUUUAGAUUUAGGAUUAGAAAAUACUGGGUGAAGUCCAAGGCAUCUGUAACUGUAAUAACACUCUCCCUUGAAUUCCAAUGAUCAGUCAGGUUUGGGAAGUUCUGGUUUCAAUAACUUGUUCAAGGUCACACAGAACCCUAAAUAGAGCCAGAAACUAACUCAAAUCUUUUGAGUCCAAGUUAAAUAUAUUUUCAUUGGACUCCUGCUGUCCAUUUACUGACAAUAUAUGAUGGGGUAGGAUGAAGAGGUGGGGAGAAAAGUAGCAAUUUUAGUUUUUUCAUUUUUAUUUUUUACCAUAUUCUAUGACAUGGUUUUAAGAUUAAAUGAGCUAACAUCCAUAGAGUGCUUAGAACAGUAUCUGGCACAUGGUAAUUAGGUGUAACGGUUCAACGAAUAAGUCUCCAUUGUCCAGUCAUGGCAUUCACUUUGCCUGGGGUUACAUUAGGUAACAUUUUAUUGGAUAUCGACUUUUUCUAUGAAGAAAAAAAUGUAUGUAAAUAAAGGUGGAAUCUUUAGCCUUUAUUUGUCAUGGAAGCCCUGAAUUUGUAUAGCUGAAAAUAUUUCUAUAUUGUUUCUUUUCAUCUUUUCUGAUAUAUUAAGAAAAUGUUAAUGAUAUACUUAUUAAAUAAAAUUGUGGAUGUAUA